rnacentral:rRNA from 1 species
UGAACGCUGGCGGCAGGCCUAACACAUGCACGUCGCACGGUAACAGGAAGAAGCUUGCUUCUUUGCUGACGAGUGGCGGACGGGUGAGUAAUGUCUGGGAAACUGCCUGAUGGAGGGGGGUAACUACUGGAAACGGUAGCUAAUACCGCAUAACGUCGCAAGACCAAAAAGGGGGACCUUCGGGCCUCUUGCCAUCGGAUGUGCCCAGAUGGGAUUAGCUAGUAGGUGGGGUAACGGCUCACCUAGGCGACGAUCCCUAGCUGGGCUGAGAGGAUGACCAGCCACACUGGAACUGAGACACGGUCCAGACUCCUACGGGAGGCAGCAGUGGGGAAUAUUGCACAAUGGGCGCAAGCCUGAUGCAGCCAUGCCGCGUGUAUGAAGAAGGCCUUCGGGUUGUAAAGUACUUUCAGCGGGGAGGAAGGGAGUAAAGUUAAUACCUUUGCUCAUUGACGUUACCCGCAGAAGAAGCACCGGCUAACUCCGUG